rnacentral:rRNA from 1 species
UACGUAGGGGGCAAGCGUUGUCCGGAUUUAUUGGGCGUAAAGCGCUCGCAGGUGGUUCGUCGCGUCGUGCGUGAAAGACCCCGGCUCAACUGGGGAGUGUCGUGCGAUACGGGCGAACUGGAGGCCAGUAGGGGGAUGCGGAAUUCCUGGUGUAGCGGUGAAAUGCGCAGAUAUCAGGAGGAACACCGGUGGCGAAGGCGGGUCUCUGGGCCGAUACUGACGCUGAGGAGCGAAAGCAUGGGGAGCGAACAGG